GGGGGAUAUUGCACGAUGGGGGAAACCCUGAUGCAGCGACGCCGCGUGAGGGAAGACGGUCCUCUGGAUUGUAAACCUCUGUCUUCGGGGACGAAACGAGACGGUACCCGAGGAGGGAGCCACGGCUAACUACGUGCCAGCAGCCGCGGUAAUACGUAGGUGGCAAGCGUUGUCCGGAAUUACUGGGUGUAAAGGGAGCGUAGGCGGGCAGGCAAGUCAGGCGUGAAAUAUAUCGGCUCAACCGGUAACGGCGCUUGAAACUGCAGGUCUUGAGUGAAGUAGAGGUUGGCGGAAUUCCUAGUGUAGCGGUGAAAUGCGUAGAUAUUAGGAGGAACACCAGUGGCGAAGGCGGCCAACUGGGCUUUUACUGACGCUGAGGCUCGAAAGUGUGGGGAGCAAAC
rnacentral:rRNA from 1 species